UAGGCCGUCAAAAUGGAUGUGAAGUGGUUUUUUUUACUAUUCAUAUCACAGCCACUUUGAUGAGCCGAU
rfam:Acyrthosiphon pisum strain LSR1 Contig15558, whole genome shotgun sequence.